AACGAACGCUGGCGGCAUGCCUAACACAUGCAAGUCGAACGAGACCUUCGGGUCUGUGGCGCACGGGUGCGUAACGCGUGGGAAUCUGCCCUUGGGUUCGGAAUAACAGUGAGAAAUUACUGCUAAUACCGGAUGAUGUCUUCGGACCAAAGAUUUAUCGCCCAGGGAUGAGCCCGCGUAGGAUUAGCUAGUUGGUGGGGUAAUGGCCUACCAAGGCGACGAUCCUUAGCUGGUCUGAGAGGAUGAUCAGCCACACUGGGACUGAGACACGGCCCAGACUCCUACGGGAGGCAGCAGUGGGGAAUAUUGGACAAUGGGCGCAAGCCUGAUCCAGCAAUGCCGCGUGAGUGAUGAAGGCCUUAGGGUUGUAAAGCUCUUUUACCCGGGAUGAUAAUGACAGUACCGGGAGAAUAAGCUCCGGCUAACUCCGUG
rnacentral:rRNA from 1 species